CACGUAGGAGGCAAACGUUAUCCGGAUUUACUGGGCGUAAAGCGCGUGUAGGUGGUUCUGUAAGUAGGGCGUGAAAGCUCCCGGCUCAACUGGGAGAGGCCGUUCUAAACUGCAGAGCUAGAGGAUGGUAGAGGGAGGUGGAAUUCCAGGUGUAGCGGUGGAAUGCGCAGAUAUCUGGAGGAACACCAGUGGCGAAGGCGGAUUUCUGGACGAUAACUGACGCUGAGGCGCGAAAGCGUGGGUAGCGAACAGGAUUAGAUACCCGCGUAGU
rnacentral:rRNA from 1 species